rnacentral:rRNA from 1 species
UCGGACGGGUGAGUAACGCGUGAGAAUCUACCCUUAGGAUGGGGACAACAGUUGGAAACGACUGCUAAUACCCGAUAUGCCGGAAGGUGAAACUUAUAUGGCCUGAGGAAGAGCUCGCGUCUGAUUAGCUAGUUGGUAGUGUAAAGGACUACCAAGGCGACGAUCAGUAGCUGGUCUGAGAGGAUGAGCAGCCACACUGGGACUGAGACACGGCCCAGACUCCUACGGGAGGCAGCAGUGGGGAAUUUUCCGCAAUGGGCGCAAGCCUGACGGAGCAAUACCGCGUGAGGGAGGAAGGUCUGUGGAUUGUAAACCUCUUUUGAUAGGGAAGAAGUUCUGACGGUACCUAUCGAAUCAGCAUCGGCUAACUCCGUGCCAGCAGCCGCGGUAAUACGGAGGAUGCAAGCGUUAUCCGGAUUUAUUGGGCGUAAAGCGUCCGUAGGUGGUUAAUCAAGUCUAUUGUCAAAGCCUGGGGCUUAACCCUGGAGAGGCGGUGGAAACUGGUUGACUUGAGUGCGGUAGGGGCAGAGGGAAUUCCCAGUGUAGCGGUGAAAUGCGUAGAUAUUGGGAAGAACACCGGUGGCGAAAGCGCUCUGCUGGGCCUGCACUGACACUGAGGGACGAAAGCUAGGGGAGCGAAAGGGAUUAGAUACCCCUGUAGUC